UACGUAGGGUGCGAGCGUUUGUCCGGAAUUAUUGGGCGUAAAGAGCUCGUAGGCGGUUGGUCACGUCUGGUGUGAAAUCCCGAGGCUCAACUUCGGGCUUGCAUCGGGGUACGGGUCGACUAGAGUGCUGUAGGGGGAGACUGGAAUUCCUGGUGUAGCGGUGGAAUGCGCAGAUAUCAGGAGGAACACCGAUGGCGAAGGCAGGUCUCUGGGCCACUACUGACGCUGAGAAGCGAAAGCGUGGGGAGCGAACAGG
rnacentral:rRNA from 1 species